rnacentral:rRNA from 1 species
UACGUAGGGCGCAAGCGUUGUCCGGAAUUAUUGGGCGUAAAGGGCUCGUAGGCGGUUUGUCGCGUCGGGAGUGAAAACAUCCAGCUUAACUGGGUGCUUGCUUUCGAUACGGGCAGACUAGAGGUAUGCAGGGGAGAACGGAAUUCCUGGUGUAGCGGUGAAAUGCGCAGAUAUCAGGAGGAACACCGGUGGCGAAGGCGGUUCUCUGGGCAUGAUCUGACGCUGAGAAGCGAAAGUGUGGGGAGCGAACAGG